GAGAGUUUGAUCCUGGCUCAGAGUGAACGCUGGCGGUAGGCCUAACACAUGCAAGUCGAACGGCAGCACAGGAGAGCUUGCUCUCUGGGUGGCGAGUGGCGGACGGGUGAGGAAUACAUCGGAAUCUACUUUUUCGUGGGGGAUAACGUAGGGAAACUUACGCUAAUACCGCAUACGACCUACGGGUGAAAGCAGGGGAUCUUCGGACCUUGCGCGAUUGAAUGAGCCGAUGUCGGAUUAGCUAGUUGGCGGGGUAAAGGCCCACCAAGGCGACGAUCCGUAGCUGGUCUGAGAGGAUGAUCAGCCACACUGGAACUGAGACACGGUCCAGACUCCUACGGGAGGCAGCAGUGGGGAAUAUUGGACAAUGGGCGCAAGCCUGAUCCAGCCAUACCGCGUGGGUGAAGAAGGCCUUCGGGUUGUAAAGCCCUUUUGUUGGGAAAGAAAUCCAGCUGGCUAAUACCCGGUUGGGAUGACGGUACCCAAAGAAUAAGCACCGGCUAACUUCGUGCCAGCAGCCGCGGUAAUACGAAGGGUGCAAGCGUUACUCGGAAUUACUGGGCGUAAAGCGUGCGUAGGUGGUCGUUUAAGUCCGUUGUGAAAGCCCUGGGCUCAACCUGGGAACUGCAGUGGAUACUGGACGACUAGAGUGUGGUAGAGGGUAGCGGAAUUCCUGGUGUAGCAGUGAAAUGCGUAGAGAUCAGGAGGAACAUCCAU
rnacentral:rRNA from 1 species